rnacentral:rRNA from 1 species
CGACCAGAGAUGGAGCUCUUCAGUUCGGCUGGACCGGAGACAGGUGCUGCAUGGCUGUCGUCAGCUCGUGUCGUGAGAUGUUGGGUUAAGUCCCGCAACGAGCGCAACCUCGCCUUAGUUGCCAUCAUUUAGUUGGGCACUCUAAGGGGACUGCCGGUGAUAAGCCGGAGGAAGGUGGGGAUGACGUCAAGUCCUCAUGGCCCUUACAGGCUGGGCUACACACGUGCUACAAUGGCGGUGACAGAGGGACGCAAAGGAGCAAUCCUUCGCAAAUCUCAAAAAGGCCGUCUCAGUUCGGAUUGUGCUCUGCAACUCGAGCACAUGAAGUUGGAAUCGCUAGUAAUCGCAGAUCAGCACGCUGCGGUGAAUACGUUCCCGGGCCUUGUACACACCGCCCGUCACACCAUGGGAGUUGGCUUUACCUGAAGGCGGUGCGCUAACCCGCAAGGGAGGCAGCCGACCACGGUAGGGUCAGCGACUGGGGUGAAGUCGUAACAAGGUAAGCGUAGUGCU